rnacentral:lncRNA from 1 species
GCGUAUGUCAGAAUUUCCUUCCUUUUAAAGGUUGAAUAGUAUUAAUAUUCCAUUGUAUGUAUAUAACAUAUUUUGUUUAUCUAUUGAUCUGUUGGAUCACCUGGUUGCAGUGCAGUACGGUACAAGCAGCUGAUUGAAUGAACGAAUACUACUGGUCAGUGCUUUCGGAGUGUUCCUGUGCUUGGUUUCAAGUUUCUAAGAGUACUCUUGUGUAAUCACAGCUAGAGCAAGAGAGAAGAGAGGCAGAAAUGAGGGCAAAACGGGAAGAGGAAGAGCGAAAGAGGCAGGAAGAACUCCGAAGACAACAGGAGGAAAUUCUUCGGCGACAGCAGGAAGAAGAAAGGAAAAGGCGAGAGGAAGAAGAACUUGCCCGAAGGAAACAGGAAGAGGCUCUGCGUCGCCAGCGGGAGCAAGAAAUUGCAUUAAGGCGACAGCGAGAAGAGGAAGAAAGACAGCAGCAAGAAGAAGCUCUUAGAAGACUGGAAGAGAGGAGAAGAGAAGAGGAAGAAAGGCGGAAGCAGGAAGAAUUGUUACGCAAACAGGAAGAGGAGGCUGCAAAAUGGGCCCGGGAAGAAGAAGAAGCCCAGCGUCGAUUAGAGGAGAACCGGCUGCGGAUGGAAGAGGAGGCAGCCAGACUCCGGCAUGAGGAAGAAGAACGGAAGAGAAAGGAGCUGGAGGUCCAGCGGCAGAAGGAGUUAAUGCGCCAGAGGCAGCAGCAGCAAGAGGCUCUCCGGAGGUUGCAGCAGCAGCAGCAGCAACAACAGCUGGCGCAGAUGAAGCUUCCUUCUUCUUCAACGUGGGGCCAGCAGUCCAAUACAACAGCAUGUCAGUCCCAGGCCACGCUGUCGUUGGCUGAAAUCCAAAAACUAGAGGAAGAACGAGAACGGCAGCUUCGAGAAGAGCAAAGGCGCCAGCAGAGGGAGUUGAUGAAAGCUCUUCAGCAGCAGCAGCAACAGCAACAGCAGAAACUCUCAGGUUGGGGGAAUGUCAGCAAACCUUCAGGUACCACGAAAUCUCUUCUGGAGAUCCAGCAGGAAGAGGCCAGGCAAAUGCAAAAGCAGCAGCAGCAGCAGCAGCAACACCAGCAACCAAACAGAGCUCGUAACAAUACGCAUUCCAACCUGCACACCAGCAUUGGGAAUUCUGUUUGGGGCUCUAUAAAUACUGGUCCUCCUAACCAGUGGGCAUCUGACCUAGUCAGUAGUAUUUGGAGUAAUGCUGACACUAAAAACUCCAACAUGGGAUUCUGGGAUGAUGCAGUGAAAGAGGUGGGACCUAGGAAUUCAAC